ensembl:lncRNA
GGAGAGGCUGUCUGAUCUGAAUGAAUGAGACACAGAGCUGUUUACAGGAGGAGGUGUGGUUGAAUCCUCCAGUGUGGUGUUUUGUAAUGUUGUGAUAUGCUGGCAUGGGCAUCUGGAGUGGCAAGGGAGGCGUGACCUCAAGGAAUGUGGGGAAUUUUUUUGUGUAAACUGAAGUGAGCCAGAUUUUUUGCUCUAAGAUGCCACGGAGUGCUCUUAUGACCACAAAGACUGUUUUGGGAUGCUGCUGACCAUACUACUGUAGUGUAGGUUAUUAUUACAGUGAAAGCUGCAAGGCUAAAGACCAUAGUGUUUUGGUUUAAGGAUAAGGUGUCGUCUAUGGACACUGGAAUUAUGGGAUGGAGCUCCAUGGACAACGUUCUGGCAUUGAGUUGGCAACUUCUGCACUUCUUUCAGGCUUUCAGCCUUCCAUGUUCCAGCAGUCCAUCCUCUGUCCAUGUGCAGGUGGCGUUUCUGUGUUUUCCAUCUCGGACAGAUCAGUUUUAUACACUUUUAUCGGGAAACAAGGUGCCAUACAAACACCAUUCCUCUCACAUGCUCACAUGCUCUUAAAAAUAAAGGAUUUGUACUGCCAUUGAUGGUUCCAUGAAGAUUAUUUAGCAUCUGUGGAACCUUUGAAUGGUUCUUUAAAGUUUCCAUUGGACAAAAAAAAAGUGCUAAGGGAAAUGGUUCUUCUAAGAAAUGUUCACUGAAAGGUUCUUCAGGGAACCCAAAAUGGAACUUCUUUGGCAUCUCGGUGUUAUAAGAGUGCACACUGAUAAUAUUGUGACCCUGGACCUCUAAACCAAUCAUAAGUAGCAUGGGUAUAUUUGUAGCAAUAGCCAACAAUAUAUUGUAUCAGUCAAAAUUAUCGAUUUUUUUUUUAUGCAAAAAAAUCAUUUGGAUAAGAUCAUGUUCCAUGAAGAUAUUUUGUAAAUUUCAUCCUGUAAAUAUAUCAAAACUUAAUUUUUGAUUAGUAAUAUGCAUAGCUAAGAACUUCAUUUGGACAACUUUAAAUGUGAUUUUCUCAUUAUUUUGAUUUUUCUGCACCCAUAGAUACCAGAUUUUUAAAUAGUUGUAUCUCAGACAAAUAUUGUCCUAUCCUAAAAAACAUACAGCAAUGGAAAGUUUAUUUAUACAGCUUUCAGACGAUGUUUACAUAUCAAUUUUAAAAAAAAUGGACACUUAUGACUGGUUUUGUGGUCCAAGGUCACAUAUGAUUAAUUGAGUCUCUCCCCCUCUGUCAGGUGCUGAGCAGUACUGCAGUGUGUGAAGACGUGUGUGAGUGUGUAAUGAAGUUCAGAGCACCACAAAUUUCUGAGGAGCUGGGAUUCAGUCUACAAUCAUACAAUGAUACAGAACUGCUGGAUGCCAAGACUUUCCACCUUGGUAACUCUGAAGACAGAGAAAUUGAAUGUUACCUAUGGUCAAACACACUAUUUUCCUAUUUAAUACUGUAAAGUUGCUUUGACACAAUCGUUAUUGUUAAAAUCGCUAUAUAAAUAAAGGUGACUUAACUUGACAGAGGCUCCCAACGGCACAAAUGCACAUGUUUUGGCUGUGUUUUAAUAUUCUUGUUUGCUCUAUUUUUGUUAGCUCCUCUCGUGGCAUCCUCUGUACGCAUGAAUGUCUCAUCCACGACUGCCAUGUUCAGCUGGCCUACAUUAGAUGAUGGAGAUGUCUUGGAUGUGUGUUUGGAUGAGCAGUGUUGGGUUGCGUCCCAUUUUCAGCCAUUCCACCAGGUGACGGGGUUACAGCCUGGGCGUCGUUACAAUGUCAGUGUGGCAAAGAAAACAUUCAUCCCUCAUCUCCAAAUUAAUGUUACACAAAGCCUACAGCUGGCCAUAAAGACUGGUAUGUGAACAUACACAUACACAUACACACACUCAUACUCAUACUCAUACUCAUACUCAUAUUCAUACUCAUACACAUACACAUACACAUACACAUACUCAUACUCAUACACAUACUCAUACUCAUACUCAUACACAUACACAUACACACACUCAUACUCAUACUCAUACUCAUACACAUACUCAUACACAUACACAUACACACACUCAUACACAUACUCAUACUCAUACACAUACACAUACACAUACACAUACACAUAUACAUACACAUACUCAUACUCAUACUCAUACACAUACUCAUACUCAUACUCAUACUCAUACUCAUACUCAUACUCAUACACAUACACAUACACACACUCAUACUCAUACUCAUACUCAUACACAUACACAUACACAUACACAUACACAUACACAUACGAUGAAUAGUGUUGUGAUGAAUUGCUUAUGUUCCUCUAUUG